rnacentral:rRNA from 1 species
CCUACGGGUGGCAGCAGUGGGGAAUAUUGGACAAUGGGCGAAAGCCUGAUCCAGCCAUGCCGCGUGUGUGAAGAAGGCCUUCGGGUUGUAAAGCACUUUCAGUGGGGAAGAAAGCCUUGGGGCUAAUACCCUCGAGGAAGGACAUCACCCACAGAAGAAGCACCGGCUAACUCCGUGCCAGCAGCCGCGGUAAUACGGAGGGUGCGAGCGUUAAUCGGAAUUACUGGGCGUAAAGCGCGCGUAGGCGGUCUGAUAAGCCGGUUGUGAAAGCCCCGGGCUCAACCUGGGAACGGCAUCCGGAACUGUCAGGCUAGAGUGCAGGAGAGGAAGGUAGAAUUCCCGGUGUAGCAGUGAAAUGCGUAGAGAUCGGGAGGAAUACCAGUGGCGAAGGCGGCCUUCUGGACUGACACUGACGCUAAGGUGCGAAAGCGUGGGUAGCAAACAGGAUUAGAUACCCGAGUAGUC